GCAAGUCGAGGGGUAACAUUGGAGCUUGCUCCAGAUGACGACCGGCGCACGGGUGCGUAACGCGUAUAGAACCUACCUUUUACAGAGGGAUAGCCUUUAGAAAUGAAGAUUAAUACCUCAUAGUAUUGAGACUUGGCAUCAAGACUUACUUAAAGAUUUAUCGGUAAAAGAUGGCUAUGCGUCCUAUUAGCUAGAUGGUAAGGUAACGGCUUACCAUGGCAACGAUAGGUAGGGGCCCUGAGAGGGGGAUC
rnacentral:rRNA from 1 species